CUAUGGGUUGUAAACUGGCUUUUUAACGGGAAUAACCUUCCUACGUGUAGGAAGCCUGAAGGUACCGUAUUGAAUAAGGAUCGGCUAACUCCGUGCCAGCAGCCCGCGGUAAUACGGAGGAUUCGAGCGUUAUCCGGGAUUUAAUGGGUUUAAAGGGUCGUAGGCCGGCGAUUAAGUCAGUGGUGAAAUCUCCCAGCUCAACUGUGAAACUGCCAUUGACACUGGUUGUCUUGAAUUUAGUUGAGGUGGGCGGAAUACGUUAUGUAGCGGUGAAAUGCAUAGAUAUAACGUAGAACACCGAUUGCGAAGGCAGCUCACUAAGCUAAUAUUGACGCUGAUGGACGAAAGCGUGGGGAGCGAACAGGAUUAGAUACCCUGGUAGUCCACGCCGUAAACGAUGAUUACUCGUUGUGCGCGAUACACAGUGCGCGACUGAGCGAAAGCAUUAAGUAAUCCACCUGGGGAGUACGUUGGCAACAAUGAAACUCAAAGGAAUUGACGGGGGCCCGCACAAGCGGAGGAACAUGUGGUUUAAUUCGAUGAUACGCGAGGAACCUUACCUGGGCUUAAAUGCAGUUUGACCGGCUUGGAAACAAGCUUUCUCUUCGGAGCAAAUUACAAGGUGCUGCAUGGUUGUCGUCAGCUCGUGCCGUGAGGUGUCGGGUUAAGUCCCAUAACGAGCGCAACCCCUAUCGUUAGUUGCUAGCAGGUAAUGCUGAGGACUCUAGCGAGACUGCCACCGUAAGGUGAGAGGAAGGUGGGGAUGACGUCAAAUCAGCACGGCCCUUACGUCCAGGGCUACACACGUGUUACAAUGGCUAGUACAAAGGGCAGCUACCUGGUGACAGGAUGCUAAUCUCAAAAGCUAGUCUCAGUUCGGAUCGGAGUCUGCAACUCGACUCCGUGAAGUUGGAUUCGCUAGUAAUCGUGUAUCAGCAAUGAUACGGUGAAUACGUUCCCGGGCCUUGUACACACCGCCCGUCAAGCCAUGGAAGCCGAGGGGACCUGAAGUUCGUAACCGCAAGGAGCGACCUAGGGUAAAAUUGGUAACUGGGCUAAGUC
rnacentral:rRNA from 1 species